GAUAAACGCUGGCGGCGCACAUAAGACAUGCAAGUUGAACGGACUUAAUCGAAAUAUUUAUAUUUUGAAGCGGUUAGUGGCGGACUGGUGAGUAACGCGUAAGGAACCUGCCUAUUAGAGGGGAAUAACAGUGAGAAAUCAUUGCUAAUACCGCAUAUGCCAUAGAUAUCACAUGAUAACAGUGGGAAAGGAGCAAUCCGCUAAUAGAUGGCCUUGCGUCUGAUUAGAUAGUUGGUGGGGUAACGGCCUACCAAGUCGACGAUCAGUAGCCGGACUGAGAGGUUGAACGGCCACAUUGGGACUGAGAUACGGCCCAGACUCCUACGGGAGGCAGCAGUCGGGAAUAUUGCGCAAUGGAGGAAACUCUGACGCAGUGACGCCGCGGAUAGGAAGAAGGUUUUCGGAUUGUAAACUAUUGUCGUUAGGGAAGAGAAAGGACAGUACCUAAGGAGGAAGCUCCGGCUAACUACGUG
rnacentral:rRNA from 1 species